rnacentral:tRNA from 1 species
GCCUGGGUGGCUCAAUCGGUUGAGCGUCUGACUUCAGCUCAGGUCAUGAUCUCACAGUUCGUGAGUUCGAGCCCCGCGUCGGGCU